CCUACGGGGGGCAGCAGUGAGGAAUAUUGGUCAAUGGGCGCGAGCCUGAACCAGCCAAGUAGCGUGAAGGAUGACUGCCCUACGGGUUGUACACUUCUUUUAUACAGGAAUAAAGUGAGGCACGUGUGGCUUUUUGUAUGUACUUUAUGAAUAAGGAUCGGCUAACUCCGUGCCCGCAGCCGCGGUAAUACGGAGGAGCCGAGCGUUAUCCGGAUUUCUUGGGUUUAAAGGGAGCGUAGAUGGGUUGUUCAGUCAGUUGUGAAAGUUCGCGGCUCAACCGUGAAAUUGCAAUUGAUACUGGCAGUCUUGAGGACAGUUGAGGUAGGCGGAAUUCGUGGUGUAGCGGUGAAAUGCUUAGAGAUCACGAAGAACUCCGAUUGCGAAGGCAGCUUACUAAGCUGCCACUGACAUUGAUGCUCGAAAGUGUGGGUAUCAAACAGGAGUAGAUACCCCUGUAGUC
rnacentral:rRNA from 1 species